rnacentral:rRNA from 1 species
GACGAACGCUGGCGGCGUGCUUAACACAUGCAAGUCGAACGGAAAGGCCCUGCUUUUGUGGGGUGCUCGAGUGGCGAACGGGUGAGUAACACGUGAGUAACCUGCCCUUGACUUUGGGAUAACUUCAGGAAACUGGGGCUAAUACCGGAUAGGAGCUCCUGCUGCAUGGUGGGGGUUGGAAAGUUUCGGCGGUUGGGGAUGGACUCGCGGCUUAUCAGCUUGUUGGUGGGGUAGUGGCUUACCAAGGCUUUGACGGGUAGCCGGCCUGAGAGGUGGACCGGCCACAUGGCGACUGAGAGACGGCCCAGACUCGUACGGGAGGCAGCAGUGGGGAGUAUGGCACAGUGGGCGGAAGUCUGAGACAGAAACGCCGCGUGCGUGAUGACGGCUUUCGGGUGAUAAACCGCUGUCGCCGGUGACGAAGCGGUAGUGACGGUAAUGAAUAAAGAAGCACCGGCUAACUACGUG